rnacentral:lncRNA from 1 species
UGACAGUUGACUCUUGAUGGAAGGACUUAGCCACGCCCUUCCCUGGGGCGGAGCCUUCCAAGCAGAGGCCAAAGGCUGGAGGAGGCUUGCACCGGGCUGGGGCAGAGUGAGCAAGGGAGACUGCGGUAGAGAGGAGCCAGAUUGUAGGUCACCGGGAGGACAUGGGCUUUGUCUCAGAGCGCAACGCAGUAUUUAAACACAGGAAUAACAUGAUGUAACUUGCUGGCUUUUUAAAAAUGCAUUUUAGAUUUUAAAAGGAUCACAGGAUCAGCUUGUCUGCUGCGUUGGGAAGACCAGGGGUAAAAGCAGAGAGGCGGGUUAGGGGGUGAUUGUCCAGAUGAGAGAUUCUGGUGGCUUCAAUGAGCAUUGUAACAGUGAGGGUGGUCGGGAGUGGUUUGGACUCCGAUGUGAACAGGAAUUUCUGACAGAUUUGUCUGGGAUAUGAGAGGAGAUAAGCAUAAUGCUCCUGUCGGACAGAAAAUGAUAAUGCAGGAAAACACUGUAUUUUAAAACUCUUAAUAGGUUUUUGUUUGCUCAAAGUGUGUCCAUUCUAUUGAAUUGCACAUAGUGAAACUGCAUGUACAUGAAAGCUUCCUUAACAUGUUUCCCACAAUGUUAGCACAGUGAAUCUUGGGAAGAGGGGUCUCUACCAGAGGGUCUUGGUAACCGUGCACUGCCUGCCUGCCAUGGACCUCUGACCCUUGAGAGGACAGCUAUGCCGUGAUGCUGUUAACUUAUCUAAUUUCCAUCCACCAAAGAUGAAGUGACAUUUAAUGAUUUCAUUAAUUGAAAUUCUGCUCUUUUGACCUUGGGAUUUCCAAAUUUGUGAUUUUUUUUUUUUUUUUUCCUUUCCUGCAAUCUUGCCAGGCUGUCUUCAAGAAGAAUUUUAUACUGCUGUCAUGAGAAAAUCGCUUACGGUUCCUUCAGAUGUCAAGAUUCUGUCAUUUCUGCAGAUGUGGCCCAUUGUGAUUCAGGAUCUGAGCGUUCUCUGUAUAAUAGUUUUUACUUGGUUCUUCAUGAAGACGAUGCAUCGUGCUUCUUUUGAGAACCAUGAGGAUCAUUCCCAAAUAAUUCAAAGAAGGAUUGUUUGUUUAUUUUAACUUGUGCUAGUUAUUAAAAUUCAUUUUAUGUGUAUGAAAUCAUAUAGGUAUCAGCAUGGAAAAUAAAGCUAUUUUCUUUUACCUCA